GACGAACGCUGGCGGCGUGCUUAACACAUGCAAGUCGAACGGAAAGGCCCUGCUUUUGUGGGGUUCUCGAGUGGCGAACGGGUGAGUAACACGUGAGUAACCUGCCCUUGACUUCGGGAUAACUUCAGGAAACUGGGGCUAAUACCGGAUAGGAGCUCCUGCUGCAUGGUGGGGGUUGGAAAGUUUCGGCGGUUGGGGAUGGACUCGCGGCUUAUCAGCUUGUUGGUGGGGUAGUGGCUUACCAAGGCUUUGACGGGUAGCCGGCCUGAGAGGGUGACCGGCCACAUUGGGACUGAGAUACGGCCCAGACUCCUACGGGAGGCAGCAGUGGGGAAUAUUGCACAAUGGGCGGAAGCCUGAUGCAGCAACGCCGCGUGCGGGAUGACGGCCUUCGGGUUGUAAACCGCUUUCGCCUGUGACGAAGCGUGAGUGACGGUAAUGGGUAAAGAAGCACCGGCUAACUACGUG
rnacentral:rRNA from 1 species